rnacentral:rRNA from 1 species
UACGUAGGGGGCCAGCGUUGUCCGGAGUUACUGGGCGUAAAGCGCACGCAGGCGGUCGACCACGUUCGGGGUGACAGCUUCCGGCUUCACUGGAAGAGGUCCUCGAAAACGGGGCGACUUGAGGGGUUCAGAGGGACCGAGAAUUCCGGGUGGAGUGGUGAAAUGCGUAGAGAUCCGGAGGAAUACCCAUGGCGAAGGCAUGGUCCUGGGAACCACCUGACGCUGAGGUGCGAAAGCGAGGGGAG